CAAUAGCGUAUAUUAAAGUUGUUGCAGUUAAAAAGCUCGUAGUUGGAUUUCUGGUGGGAGCGAUCGGUCUGGCGCUUAGCGCGAGUACUUGCAUCGUCUCCGGCCAUCCUUGGGGAGAGUCUGUCUGGCAUUAGGUUGUCGGGCAGAGGAUCCUCAUCGUUUACUGUGAAAAAAUUAGAGUGUUCAAAGCAGGCUUAUGCCGUUGAAUAUAUUAGCAUGGAAUAAUAAGAUAGGACUUUGGUACUAUUUUGUUGGUUUGCGCACCAAAGUAAUGAUUAAUAGGGACAGUUGGGGGUAUUCGUAUUCCGUUGUCAGAUGUGAAAUUCUUGGAUUUACGGAAGACGAACUACUGCGAAAGCAUUUACCAAGGAUGUUUUCAUUAA
rnacentral:rRNA from 1 species